rnacentral:rRNA from 1 species
UACAGAGGUCUCAAGCGUUGUUCGGAUUCAUUGGGCGUAAAGGGUGCGUAGGCGGCGCGGUAAGUCGGGUGUGAAAUCUCGGGCUUAACUCCGAAACUGCAUUCGAUACUGCCGUGCUUGAGGACUGGAGAGGAGACUGGAAAUUCAUGGUGUAGCAGUGAAAUGCGUAGAGAUCAUGAGGAAGACCAGUGGCGAAGGCGGGUCUCUGGACAGUUCCUGACACUGAGACACGAAGGCCAGGGAGCAAACGGG